CCGAGAGGGGGCUCCAGCGGGGGCAGAGGCGGCGGGACGCGCGGCCCCGCUGCUGGCCUGGCUGCGCUCCCAGACCCGCCCCUUCCAUUUGCCCGCCAGGGGCAUGGCGAGCGCCCACUGACAACCCAGCCCUGGCUACAUUCUUAGAUGCCCAACAUCAGUAGCACCUGGCACCAGGUACCUGCUUGGCUUGGCUACCCUGGAGCUUCUGGAAAGGGGAUCUUCCCAACCCAGGGAUUGAACCCGGCUCUCCCGCAUUGCAGGCGGAUUCUUUACCAUCUGAGCCAGGUGAAUGGGUGUUAUCUUCAACUUGAGCACUUUACCGUAAGGAAACAGGCCGGGAGAAGUGGCUGACUAGGAGUCAGAGCUGGGAUUUGAACCCAGGAAUAUCACAGCACAAUCUGCUGUGUGAUAGGCCCCUUCCUAUC